rnacentral:rRNA from 1 species
GACGAACGCUGGCGGCGUGCUUAACACAUGCAAGUCGAACGGAAAGGCCCUGCUUUUGUGGGGUGCUCGAGUGGCGAACGGGUGAGUAACACGUGAGUAACCUGCCCUUGACUUUGGGAUAACUUCAGGAAACUGGGGCUAAUACCGGAUAGGAGCUCCUGCUGCAUGGUGGGGGUUGGAAAGUUUCGGCGGUUGGGGAUGGACUCGCGGCUUAUCAGCUUGUUGGUGGGGUAGUGGCUUACCAAGGCUUUGACGGGUAGCCGGCCUGGGAGGGUGACCGGCCACAUUGGGACUGAGGUACGGCCCAGACUCCUACGGGAGGCAGCAGUGGGGAAUAUUGCACAAUGGGCGGAAGCCUGAUGCAGCGGCGCCGCGUGCGGGAUGACGGCCUUCGGGUUGUAAACCGCUUUCGCCUGUGACGAAGCGUGAGUGACGGUAAUGGGUAAAGAAGCACCGGCUAACUACGUG